rnacentral:tRNA from 1 species
GUUGUAGCUCAAUGGCAGAACCCUUGCCUAGCAUGCAUGAGGUCCUGGGUUCCAUCCCAGAACA